rnacentral:rRNA from 1 species
AGCACGAACGCUGGCGGCGUGCUUAACACAUGCAAGUCGAGCGGAAAGGCCCUUCGGGGUACUCGAGCGGCGAACGGGUGAGUAACACGUGAGUAAUCUGCCCCUAGCUCUGGGAUAGCUCCGGGAAACCGGGAUUAAUACCAGAUACGACCACUUUAGACAUCUGUUGUGGUGGAAAGAAUUUUGGCUAGGGAUGAGCUCGCGGCCUAUCAGCUUGUUGGUGAGGUAACGGCUCACCAAGGCGACGACGGGUAGCCGGCCUGAGAGGGCGACCGGCCACACUGGGACUGAGACACGGCCCAGACUCCUACGGGAGGCAGCAGUGGGGAAUAUUGCGCAAUGGGCGAAAGCCUGACGCAGCGACGCCGCGUGGGGGAUGAAGGCCUUCGGGUUGUAAACCCUUUCAGCAGGGACGAAGCGAAGUGACGGUACCUGCAGAAGAAGCACCGGCCAACUACGUGCCAGCAGCCGC